CGGGGCGCCAUGGGGUGUGCCCUGAGAAGCAGAACCGGGAGAGCGAGGACCAGCCAGGGGCUGCUUGUCUCAUUUCCACAGUGCUGGCCAGGAGGAGAGGAGACACAAACACAUCAGCCCUCUGCUGCUGCCAGAUGCUUCCCGGCUCCAUGAUCAUGCUGUGGGAAGCGAGCACAUCACAUCCCAUCAGACCAACCCCUGGAGCAUGGCCCGUGCCAGGCACUGGCCCCGCUUCUUCCACACCCAGCACAUUCCUCAGGCCCUUGAAGCAGCUUUGCCGGACAUCAGGAGGUGGGAGCUGGUGGUAAGGGAGGAGCAAGUGAAGCCACCGCAGCUGACGCAGUCCAGGCUCACACACGGCUCGUACUUAAAAAACAAGAAACAAACUAGAAAACUUUUAUUUGACAACGGAAGAACGAACAAAAAGAAGCGGCGUUGGACCCUUGUUUACAGGGCAGAGAAAAAGAAGUCAGCAGGUUUCCCAAGGGGAGCUCCACAGUAACCCUCCGUGGCGGCAGGGAGAGGUCAGUAAAGCUGCAAAGGUCUUUUCACAACGGCCACAUCCUCCCAAGGGCAGCAGAUGGGAGCCAUGGGACAGUCCCUCCUCUCCCCAUCCUGGCUGGCACAGACACCAGAGCCCCACAAAAGGCAGGAGUCCUCUUCCAUGACGAGCUGGUCAGGGGGUGCAGGCAG